ACUCCUACGGGAGGCAGCAGUGGGGAAUAUUGCACAAUGGGCGCAAGCCUGAUGCAGCCAUGCCGCGUGUAUGAAGAAGGCCUUCGGGUUGUAAAGUACUUUCAGCAGUGAGGAAGGUGGAUAUGUUAAUAGCAUAUUCAUUUGACGUUAGCUGCAGAAGAAGCACCGGCUAACUCCGUGCCAGCAGCCGCGGUAAUACGGAGGGUGCGAGCGUUAAUCGGAAUUACUGGGCGUAAAGCGCAUGCAGGUGGUUUGUUAAGUCAGAUGUGAAAGCCC
rnacentral:rRNA from 1 species